rnacentral:lncRNA from 1 species
CAUAUUGGAAUGAUAAAAUUAAUGAGCCUGGUAAUUUGUUGUUUGAAUUGCACAUUUGCAUAUGAACCUUUAUUUAAUAGUAACAUAUUCAGGUAAUAAUAUGAUUAUGCAGAAGCAAAUAUUUGGAAGCCAUUUGUGCCAACUUAUACUAAAAUAUGAACGUGUUUUAUCCUUUAGCUAUAAUUCAUUUCAUUUGGGAUUAACUAUGUAAUGCAUCUAGCAACACCCUGAAAUCUUGGGUGCCUGUAGCCGCAUUUAGCUAGCCCCUUAAGCUUCCCACGUCGAUACCAGAAGGACUACAACUACCUAGGGGAUGUCAAAUGGGCUGAGCCACCCAGGCCUUGCUCGUCCCAGUUGGAGGGUAAAUAUGGAUGCUUGUUCAUGAAACUGUAAGGCAAUUCAUUAUAUGACGGAGUUCUAAUAGUCCUCAUUUUUCCAAGCGUCGUAGAAAGGCUAAUUUGGUACAUUGAGAUAGAUUGAAUUUGAUAGUGAACAGAAAUAUUGAGGGAGAUGAUUGAUCAGGGCCCUUGAUAAAAUUGAAUUUAUAGUUACUGAUGUCCUGAAAUUGAUAUCAAUUAUGGGUGACGGCAAUUAUUUUAUCAAGUUUUGCUCAUAGUCUCCUUUCGUUCUUCUUAGCUUUUAGGUUCCCGGUCUGGGAAAAAUGUGGCAUAUGCAUCUCUUUUUUUGUCGAGUUGUCAUAUGGUUCGCACGGGUGUUUGUUUUUUUAGUCCAAAUUCACCUUGAUCAAAGAUUCAUCAUCCAAAUUAUUUAAAUGUUCUUCGUGCUUUUUUUUUUUUCCAUUCUCGUACUCCACCACAACGCCUUGAAUGUCAGAUGAAUGAUCCCACUUUCUGGAGAAAAACAAGUUUAUUGGGGUCUCUUGACUCCAAAAGUUUUGUCUUGCACUUGUAAUUCCAGCAACAUACUUGAACUCCUCGCACAAUUUACAGAUCAUGUGCUGAAACUUUGUUGAAAUAUUUUUUAUAGCAUUUUCAUCAUCUGUCUCUUAAACAUCGGAUUUAAACACAACUAGAUCGAUUGUAGGAGUGUAUUAAAUUAGACGCUACACGGGUAAUAACUGAGGUUGUGACUCAUAUUCAAAUGUCAUCAUCAACGGUGAAAUCCCAUUUAGGAUACUGUAUACAUGUGAGUUUCCAAUUACGUGAUUAUGAUGCUAGCAUAUAGGUUCUAAAUCAUAACCGUUUGUUUUUUAUUGGUGAGAUGGCUGUGAUUGCAAUUAGGUGACACUAAAUAGCCUAUGCUCUAGUCUUCUCUUUCUUUGAAAAAGAUAAGUAACUUGUUUAUUGAAUAAUUAAAGAGAGUGCAUUUCGUUUCUAUAUGGAUAUGUCAACAGCUUUAUGCCCUUGAGGAUCUAGAUUAAUGAUAUUGUGCAUGAACUUAUCUGAUAAUAUCUUCUGUAACUUCCACCUGAGGUGUGAAGUGCAAGGUCAAGUUUACGUCUGUACAGAUCAACUCCAACAUCGCCCCCCCAGGGCACAUUCGAGUUGGUGGAACAAUCACUUCGUUGGGACGCUGGAAGCAAGGGUGGAGAGUUCGAUUCCUGGAGUUAACACUGGGAGCCAUAUGGAGAGGAAGCCAUUGGUGUGAACAAACGCCCAGUGAGGAAAGCUUUCUUUGCGGAAAGAGUCCAAAUGAGUUGUGGGAACCUGGGAGCCAACAAGGGCACAUCCUGCGAUUUACCUCCCUGAGCUGCUGAGGGGCCGGAGGUUUAGGGACAAGGAUCUAGUCGGACGCAAGCCCGGACACCUUGUAAAAAAAAAAAAAAAAAAAAAAAAAAAAAAAAAAGAUCAACUCCAACAUCGACUCUAAGCUAAUUCAGAAAUAUCUUUGGACAAUAGUCUAUAUAGGCGUAGGUCAUGCUAGCUUCACAACUCAUUUUACUUCCACAAAUGAGUAGUUUGAUGACACAAGUAGGUUAUAUAGUUUGAAUUGUGCAUGUAUUUUUAUAGCAGAAAAAUUAAAUCUGAACUUCCUAAUCGAGUCAAGUGGAAUCGAGCUCAACUUGAUGAAUCAAGUUAGGUAAGGUUAAGAAUUUAUGGGCAUUGAUCAUUCGAUCCUACAUCUCUUCAAAAAUUAAUUAGGCUAGGUAGUUGUAAGAAUUAAUUAAUAUGAUUUGAAGCUAUGCUAAAUUGACUAGAGGGUACGCAAAGGUCAAACAUAUUAUAGAAGAAAGGAG